rnacentral:rRNA from 1 species
ACGGGUGAGUAACACGUAUCCAACCUGCCGUCUACUCUUGGCCAGCCUUCUGAAAGGAAGAUUAAUCCAGGAUGGCAUCAUGAGUUCACAUGUCCGCAUGAUUAAAGGUAUUUUCCGGUAGACGAUGGGGAUGCGUUCCAUUAGAUAGUAGGCGGGGUAACGGCCCACCUAGCUACGAUGGAUAGGGGUUCUGAGAGGAAGGUCCCCCACAUUGGAACUGAGACACGGUCCAA